rnacentral:rRNA from 1 species
GAGCGAAGAGGGACAAGCUCAAAUUUUAAAUCUAUCGGGUUUUACCCGAUCGAGUUGUAAUUUGAAGAAGCGUUUUCUGCGUUUUUGGUCAGCCCAAGUCCUAUUGAAUGAGGCAUCAUGGAGGGUGAUAAUCCCGUCCGGUUGAUCAUUUGCGUUUUACGAUACGCUUUCUAAGAGUCAAGUUGUUUGGGAUUGCAGCUCAAAAUGGGAGGUAAAUUUCUCCUAAGGCUAAAUAUCGGCGAGAGACCGAUAGCGAACAAGUACCGUGAGGGAAAGAUGAAAAGAACUUUGAAAAGAGAGUAAAAUGGUACGUGAAAUUGUUGAAAGGGAAACGAUUGAAGUCAGUCGUACCGACGAGAAAUCAACUUAUCGUGUGCGAACUUGUGGGCGUGCGUGAGUUUCGGCCUCGCUGUUUGCAUGUUUGUGCGUUUUGGGUGUACUUUUUCGUAUGGUAGGCCAACGUCAGUUUCGAUUAUCAUAAAAUGACCGGCGGAAUGUAGCUUCGAUUUCGGUUGAAGUGUUAUAGCCUCUGGCAGAUGUGGUGAUUGAGACUGAGGAUUGCAACGAAUACCCUUUGGGCUAUCCGUCUGGCCUCUGAAAGUUGCUCAGGUGCCGAAAGCGUGCUUACGGUUAUCAAAGUCGAUGGUCAAUAGGUUAGAACGGGUUAAAUUCGUUA